GUAGGUGAACCUGCGGAGGGACCAUUACAGUAGUCACCCGGGGCGCCGCAAGGCCUCCCGGGUAACCUACCACCCUUUGUUUAUUACACUUUGUUGCUUUGGCAGGCCUGCCCUCGGGCUGCUGGCUCCGGCCGGCGAGCGCUUGCCGGAGGACCUAAACUCUGUUUGUCUAUACUGUCUGAGUACUGUAUAAUAGUUAAAACUUUCAACAACGGAUCUCUUGGUUCUG
rnacentral:misc_RNA from 1 species